AAGGCAAGCAAACCAAGCAAUUGCUUGGGGCCUCGAGCUGGCCUGGGGCCCCAAGACAACGACUGGUUGAGAAUAAAUGCAACGACAAACUGUGCCCCUUUGAUAGUCAAUGCAAUGCAGUAAAGUGCAAUGACACCUUUAUUAUCGGGAUCCCCCUCAAGGGGGCCCCUCUCACUACUAGUCGCUGACAGCAGCCAGCCAACCACGUGAUCUCUGCUGCCGGCAAAAUACAAAACCUCGGCAGUCAUCAUGAAGCGGAUUUAUACUUCUGGAAGCCAGAAACGAAAGAAGAGAAAGGAAGAGGAGGAUAAGAAAAAACAAGAUAGUGGUGCUUUGCUUAAAUUUCUCAGCCCUCAGGCUCUUCCUAAGGAUACAUCCACUGAUGAAGCUACACCAUCAACGUCAUCCUCAACAUCAACAGAUGCAUCACUUCACAGUAUAUGCAACAGCAGUUUUUGCACUGUAAACCUUUUUUAUAAAUAAAUGUGGGUGAACUUAAACUGUAUGGCUAUGCUGUGGUUCCUGUAGGCUUUGGGUGCGUGU